rnacentral:rRNA from 1 species
UACGGAGGGUGCAAGCGGUUUAUGUACCGGGAUUCACUGGGUUUAAAGGGUGCGUAGGAGGGCAGGUAAGUCAGGUGGUGAAAUCUCCCAAGCUUAACUUGGGAACUGCCGUUGAUACUAUCUGUCUUGAAUAUUGUGGAGGUGAGCGGAAUAUGAUCAUGUAGCGGUGAAAUGACUUAGAUAUGACAUAGAACACCAAUUGCGAAGGCAGCUCACUACACAAUCAAUUGACUCUGAGGCACGAAAGCGUGGGGAUCAAACAGG